rnacentral:rRNA from 1 species
UACGAAGGGGGCAAGCGUUGUUCGGAAUUACUGGGCGUAAAGGGCUCGUAGGCGGCCAACUAAGUCACACGUGAAAUCCCCAGGCUUAACCUGGGAACUGCGUGUGAUACUGGAUGGCUUGAAUUCGGGAGAGGGAUGCAGAAUUCCAGGUGUAGCGGUGAAAUGCGUAGAUAUCUGGAGGAAUACCGGUGGCGAAGGCGGCAUCCUGGACCGACAUUGACGCUGAGGAGCGAAAGCUAGGGGAGCAAACGGG